GGGGAAUCUUCCGCAAUGGGCGCAAGUCUGACGGAGCAACGCCGCGUGCAGGAGGACGCUUUUCGGAGUGUAAACUGCUUUUCUGUGGGACGAGCGAGGACGGUACCACAGGAAGAAGCCCCGGCUAACUACGUGCCAGCAGCCGCGGUAAUACGUAGGGGGCGAGCGUUGUCCGGAGUUACUGGGCGUAAAGGGCAUGCAGGCGGUCGGACGCGUUUCCAGUGACAGUGGGUGGCUUACCUACCCGAGGAUUGGAAAGACGGUUUGACUUGAGGACUCGAGAGGGACACGGAAUUCCGGGUGGAGUGGUGAAAUGCGUAGAGAUCCGGAGGAACAUCAAAGGCGAAGGCAGUGUCCUGGCGAGUAACUGACGCUGAGGUGCGAAAGCUAGGGGAGCGAAAGGGAUUAGAUACCCCUGUAGUCA
rnacentral:rRNA from 1 species